GACGAACGCUGGCGGCGUGCUUAACACAUGCAAGUCACGGGGGCCCGCAAGGGCAACCGGCGAACGGGUGCGUAACACGUGAGCAACCUGCCGAUCUGAGGGGGAUAGCCGGCCCAACGGCCGGGUAAUACCGCAUACGUUCUCAUAAGGACAUCCUUGUGGGAAGAAACCUCCGGGGCAGAUCGAGGGGCUCGCGGCCUAUCAGCUAGUUGGUGUGGGUAACGGCCCACCAAGGCGACGACGGGUAGCNGGUCUGAGAGGAUGGCCAGCCACAUUGGGACUGAGAGACGGCCCAGACUCCGUACGGGAGGCAGCAGGUGGGGAAUUCUUGCGCAAUGGACCGAAAGGCUGACGCAGCGACGCCGCGU
rnacentral:rRNA from 1 species